rnacentral:miRNA from 1 species
AGGUCUGAUAGUCUACCUUUCUG